GUAACUAUGUCAGAAUUAUAUGAGUUAGCUUUAAGCGUUGAUUAUGAGUGUUAUGCCUCUAGUUACA
rnacentral:tRNA from 1 species